GAUGAACGCUGGCGGCGUGCCUAAUACAUGCAAGUCGAGCGAAUGGAUUAAGAGCUUGCUCUUAUGAAGUUAGCGGCGGACGGGUUAGUAACACGUGGGUAACCUGCCCAUAAGACUGGGAUAACUCCGGGAAACCGGGGCUAAUACCGGAUAACAUUUUGAACCGCAUGGUUCGAAAUUGAAAGGCGGCUUCGGCUGUCACUUAUGGAUGGACCCGCGUGGCAUUAGCAAGUUGGUGAGGUAACGGCUCACCAAGGCAACGAUGCGUAGCCGACCUGAGAGGGUGAUCGGCCACACUGGGACUGAGACACGGCCCCGACUCCGACGGGGAGCAGCAGUAGGGAAUCUUCCGCAAUGGACGAAAGUCUGACGGAGCACCGCCGCGUGAGUGAUGAAGGCUUUCGGGUCGUAAAACUCUGUUGUUAGGGAAGAACAAGUGCUAGUUGAAUAAGCUGGCACCUUGACGGUACCUAACCAGAAAGCCACGGCUAACUACGUGCCAGCCGCCGCGGUAA
rnacentral:rRNA from 1 species